CCCUUUCGCACGGUACUGUUGC
rnacentral:siRNA from 1 species